CCUACGGGUGGCUGCAGUGGGGGAUAUUGCACAAUGGGGGAAACCCUGAUGCAGCGACGCCGCGUGAGUGAAGAAGCGCCUCGGUGCGUAAAGCCCUGUCAGCAGGGAAGAAAAUGACGGUAGCUGAUGACGAAGCACCGGCUAACUACGUGGCAGCAGCCGCGGUAAUACGUAGGGGGCAAGCGUUAUCCGGAAUUACUGGGUGUAAAGGGGGCGCAGACGGCGGUGCAAGCCAGGAGUGAAAGCCCGGGGCCCAACCCCGGGACUGCUCUUGAAACUGCAUGGCUAGAGUGCAGGAGGGGUAAGUGGAAUUCCUAGUGUAGCGGUGAAAUGCGUAGAUAUUAGGAGGAACACCAGUGGCGAAGGCGGCUUACUGGACAGUAACUGACGUUGAGGCUCGAAAGCGUGGGGAGCAAACAGGAUUAGAUACCCCUGUAGUC
rnacentral:rRNA from 1 species